GCAUAUCAAUAAGCGGAGGAAAAAGAAACCAACAGGGAUUGCCUCAGUAACGGCGAGUGAAGCGGCAACAGCUCAAAUUUGAAAGCUGGCCCUUUUAGGGUCCGCGUUGUAAUUUGUAGAGGAUGAUUCGGCGAGGGCUCCCGCCUAAGUCCCCUGGAACGGGGCGUCAUAGAGGGUGAGAAUCCCGUAUGCGGUGGGCUGCCUUAGCCAUGUGAAUCUCCUUCGACGAGUCGAGUUGUUUGGGAAUGCAGCUCUAAAUGGGAGGUAAAUUUCUUCUAAAGCUAAAUACCGGCCAGAGACCGAUAGCGCACAAGUAGAGUGAUCGAAAGAUGAAAAGCACUUUGGAAAGAGAGUUAAAAAGUACGUGAAAUUGUUGAAAGGGAAGCGCUUGCAACCAGACUUGUCCGCAGUUGCUCAGCCGGUCUCCUGACCGGCGUACUCUUCUGCGGCCAGGCCAGCAUCAGUUCGGGCGGUCGGAUAAAGACCUCGGGAAUGUAGCUCCUCUCGGGGAGUGUUAUAGCCCGGGGUGGAAUGCGGCCAGCCUGGACUGAGGAUCUCGCUUCGGCAAGGAUGCUGGCGUAAUGGUUGUAAGCGGCCCGUCUUGAAACACGGACCAAGGAGUCUAACAUCUAUGCGAGUGUUUGGGUGUCAAACCCAUACGCGUAAUGAAAGUGAACGGAGGUGGGAACCCGCAAGGGCGCACCAUCGGCCGAUCCUGAUGUCUUCGGAUGGAUUUGAGCAAGAGCAUAGCUGUUGGGACCCGAAAGAUGGUGAACUAUGCCUGAAUAGGGUGAAGCCAGAGGAAACUCUGGUGGAGGCUCGCAGCGGUUCUGACGUGCAAAUCGAUCGUCAAAUUUGGGUAUAGGGGCGAAAGACUAAUCGAACCAUCUAGUAGCUGGUUCCUGCCGA
rnacentral:rRNA from 1 species